CGCUAGCUACAGGCUUAACACAUGCAAGUCGAGGGGCAGCAUUUCAGUUUGCUUGCAAACUGGAGAUGGCGACCGGCGCACGGGUGAGUAACACGUAUCCAACCUGCCGAUAACUCGGGGAUAGCCUUUCGAAAGAAAGAUUAAUACCCGAUGGUAUAAUCAGACCGCAUGGUCUUGUUAUUAAAGAAUUUCGGUUAUCGAUGGGGAUGCGUUCCAUUAGGCAGUUGGUGAGGUAACGGCUCACCAAACCUUCGAUGGAUAGGGGUUCUGAGAGGAAGGUCCCCCACAUUGGAACUGAGACACGGUCCAAACUCCUACGGGAGGCAGCAGUGAGGAAUAUUGGUCAAUGGGCGCAGGCCUGAACCAGCCAAGUAGCGUGAAGGAUGACUGCCCUAUGGGUUGUAAACUUCUUUUAUAUGGGAAUAAAGUUUUCCACGUGUGGAAUUUUGUAUGUACCAUAUGAAUAAGGAUCGGCUAACUCCGUGCCAGCAGCCGCGGUAAUACGGAGGAUCCGAGCGUUAUCCGGAUUUAUUGGGUUUAAAGGGAGCGUAGGUGGACAGUUAAGUCAGUUGUGAAAGUUUGCGGCUCAACCGUAAAAUUGCAGUUGAUACUGGCUGUCUUGAGUACAGUAGAGGUGGGCGGAAUUCGUGGUGUAGCGGUGAAAUGCUUAGAUAUCACGAAGAACUCCGAUUGCGAAGGCAGCUCACUGGACUGCAACUGACACUGAUGCUCGAAAGUGUGGGUAUCAAACAGAAUUAGAUACCCUGGUAGUCCACACAGUAAACGAUGAAUACUCGCUGUUUGCGAUAUACAGUAAGCGGCCAAGCGAAAGCAUUAAGUAUUCCACCUGGGGAGUACGCCGGCAACGGUGAAACUCAAAGGAAUUGACGGGGGCCCGCACAAGCGGAGGAACAUGUGGUUUAAUUCGAUGAUACGCGAGGAACCUUACCCGGGCUUAAAUUGCAUUUGAAUAUAUUGGAAACAGUAUAGCCGUAAGGCAAAUGUGAAGGUGCUGCAUGGUUGUCGUCAGCUCGUGCCGUGAGGUGUCGGCUUAAGUGCCAUAACGAGCGCAACCCUUAUCUUUAGUUACUAACAGGUCAUGCUGAGGACUCUAGAGAGACUGCCGUCGUAAGAUGUGAGGAAGGUGGGGAUGACGUCAAAUCAGCACGGCCCUUACGUCCGGGGCUACACACGUGUUACAAUGGGGGGUACAGAAGGCAGCUACCUGGUGACAGGAUGCUAAUCCCAAAAGCCUCUCUCAGUUCGGAUCGAAGUCUGCAACCCGACUUCGUGAAGCUGGAUUCGCUAGUAAUCGCGCAUCAGCCAUGGCGCGGUGAAUACGUUCCCGGGCCUUGUACACACCGCCCGUCAAGCCAUGAAAGCCGGGGGUACCUGAAGUACGUAACCGCAAGGAGCGUCCUAGGGUAAAACUGGUAA
rnacentral:rRNA from 1 species